GGGUCGUUAGCUCAGUUGGUAGAGCAGUUGACUUUUAAUCAAUU
rnacentral:tRNA from 1 species